ACAACAAGUUGGAAGCACGACACAUCAAAGUAUCAAGCCACCUAAUACCUCUUUAUUGAACCAAAAAUUUACAACCAAAACCGUCGAAACAUCGACAAUGAACCGACUCACUAGGAGUCCCCAUAGCUUACAACAUCCACAAGCUGCUAGUGACACUAAGCCGCGAACCGUACAAACUUAUGCUUUAGGAAACGGUUUCUCUAACCGAUUUUCGCACCACAACCGCGCUAUACCCAAAGCUCCGACAAUACCCUGGAAUAUCUCGAGUCAAAACAAACCACUAACUCACAACAUACCAAUUU
rnacentral:lncRNA from 1 species